AUUUUUGCUUUUGGUUUGAUGUUCUGUAUUCAGGUGCUUAGGAAUGUUAACAUCGCAUGGGCUAGUUCGCUAUUGAGCAAACCGUUCACAAGUUUGGGUAGUAGUAGAGCAUACUGCUCAAAACCAUAAUCACAGUGAUCCAGUUGAGCAGAACCAAACCAAGAAACUUGCAGAGUCCACCGUAACAAAGGUAGUUUUCAAGUAUGUUUGCCAGAAUGACAAGUCUCAAGAUGGCAGUAGGCCCUUAAUAAGAAAGCUACUUGAGAUUCCCACUGGGGAUACGUUCUUCGAAAUCAGAUAUGGAGACAAGGGGAGUUAUUAUAACUUGAACGACUUUUGUUACUCCUAUCUUAUGUGAGUUAAGGAGGCUGCAGAGUCAGCCAUUGAAAAAAGAGUAUCAGAGAUUUGUUUUGUAGAAACUUCAUUUCUCAAAGAACGUAUAAGAAGUAUAAUGGAUAGUGCAGCUGAUGCUCUAAAUUUAGACUGCAUGAUUCAUCAUAUUUCGAAAACUGAAGCGUCUUUCCCCAGUGGCAAUGACUCAAGCAUCAAUAUCUAUCUUGAUAAAUUAUUUGAAAUUCGUAUUUGGGAAAAAAUUACAAGCGGUGAUAAGCACGUGCUGGAAAUCAUUGUGUCUGAGUUAAAGAGUAAUGGAUUUGACUUCAUAAAAGAUCCAGUGGCACUCCAGAAAAUCGAGGGAGCAGUUGAAAGAGCAAUGACGCGAAUGACAAAUGGGAUCAAGCUUAAUCUGCCUAUUCUUGCUGGUGAACCUGAUAUCAGUACUGCUAUAAGUGGGGGAAAAUGUGCUGGUCUACCUAUAUUGAAAACUCUCACU